UGGUGGAGUGAUUUGUCUGGUUAAUUCCGUUAACGAACGAGACCUCAGCCUACUAAAUAGUGAACGUUUUCUAACGAAAGCGUUGCACUUCUUAGAGGGACAUUUCGGUUUAACCGGAAGGAAGUUUGAGGCAAUAACA
rnacentral:rRNA from 1 species